UUCCGCUCUCCCGGCGCGGCCCAGGAGAAAACACCGCGUCCCGCCCCGCUGCUGCCGGGAGGAACAGUGAUGCGGUGGGCUCUGUUUGCACGACUUCGGUGAAAAACUGUCUGUGAUGAAAGUGCAGCCGUGGAGCGGAGCGGCGCGCAGAGCGCUCCGGGGGAAGCUCAGACUGCAGUCCGUGCGCUCUGUGCUGCUGCUGCAAAACCGCCGUGAGCGGCGGCACGAGGGGGGGCACUGACAGCACACCACGGUGACACCGCCCUGUGGGGCGGGGGGGGAUGGGGAUCCAGGGAUAUGGGGUUGGGUUUGGGGUCUGGGAGGUGAUGGGGAUCCAGGGGUAUGGGGUUGGGUUUGGGGUCUUGGAGGUGAUGGGGAUCCAGGGGUAUGGGGUUGGGUUUGGGGUCUGGGAGGUGAUGGGGAUCCAGGGAUAUGGGGUUGGGUUUGGGGUCUGGGAGGUGAUGGGGAUCCAGGGAUAUGGGGUUGGGUUUGGGGCCUGGGAGGUGAUGGGGAUCCAGGGAUAUGGGGUUGGGUUUGGGGUCUGGGAGGUGAUGGGGAUCCAGGGGUAUGGGGUUGGGUUUGGGGUCUGGGAGGUGAUGCUGAGCUGCGGGUGCUGGGGGAGCAGUCAGCCUCGCAUGGCCGCGUGGUGGGAUCUGUGCCGGAGCCCUAUUUGUAGUACAGCACACAAUGGGUGAUGGGCCGUCGGUGAUGAGCGACGGGAGAUGAGGGGGGGAUGAUGGGUUGUGGGAUGUCAGUGGGGUCAGUGGUUGGUGGUGGGUGGUGGGUGAUGGGCAGUGGGCAGCGGUGGGUGAUGGGGAAUGGGCAAUAGGUGCCGGGCAAUGGGAGAUGGGUGUUGGGCAAUGGGCGAUGGGCGAUGGGUGAUGGCACCCAGCGGGGGUCGGGGGUCCCAGGGCUCCUCACAUCCAUCCCCACUGCUUCAAAGGGACAGGACUGUGCCUGUGGGUGCGCGCUGCUGCCCCACACGG
ensembl:lncRNA